CUCUGCUCCCCCUUGUUCUGCUCUUGAGCCAGGAAACGGUAUCCCCUGGGAAAUACUCAUGUCAGGGUCCUUUAAACGUGAUCUUACCCCAAAGGGCUGUGGUGGGGUGACCUGAGGUGCACCUGCUCUCAGUGCCCUGCCUGGCACUCACUUGCUUUAACACCCCCACCACGGACACCGUGGCCCUUCCCACACAGCCAUGAGCAGCCCCUUGGCUCUGUGGGAUGGAGGUGAUGGUGGGGCUGGCCAUGGUGGGUAAGGUCUGGGCCCCAUUGCUUGUCCCCAGAUGCCAGCGUGCCCAACGUGCAGGUGACAAAGCUGACACUCAUGUGCGAGCAGGCGCCAGGGCCCAUCACCAUGGACCUGACAGGAGACCUGGAGGAGCUGAGAGGCCGGGCCUUUGUGCUGAAGGAAGGGGUGGACUACAGAGUGAAGGUGUCCUUCAAGGUGAACAGGGAGAUCGUCUGCGGGCUGCGCUGCCUGCACCUCACCUACCGCCGGGGCCGGCCCGGUGA